GAUUGUUUCGUUCCUACCUGAAUCCCCAGCACCUAGUUGCAUACCUAGCACAUAAUGGGCCCUCAAUAAAUAUUUGUGGACAGAAUUUAGCCUUUUAUGUGUCUGAAGAUAAAGCUUAUGGUUCCUUGAUCUUUUCUUUUAGGCUUCAGGCACUGACAGUGACACUUUUCUAACUCUGGCCCUCUAGAUGUUCAUUCAAUAGGUAUUUAUUGGGCACUUAAUAUGGGCAAGACACUGUUCUAGGUGCCAGAUAUACAUCAGGGCCUAACAGAUUAAAAUGCCUUGCACUUGUGGAAAUUGCAUUCAAUAGGAAGAGUUCCCAAGGCCACCGAUUGAGUCUCAGCAUACGAGGAAUGAAUAUCGGGUCCCCGGGAUCACAGGGCUUUUUCCAGGGAGCUCCUAUGAAGUUUCAAGCAAGGAAAAGAAUGGUGCCUCUCUAGUAUGCCCUGGUCCAUCCUACCAACACUGGAGCUAGAUGACCUGGCUUGGAAUCCCUGCUUGUUCACUUACUGCAUAAUUCUAUAAGGCAAAUUACUUAA